CAGCCACGCCCUCAUCGGCCACCAUCAAAUCUCCCGUACCUCCGGCGCUCGCUGCCCCUCUUACUUUCACCCAGUUGUAAGUAAAAUGGACCUCAGCCCAUUUGACUUACUGAUUUUGGUGUUUGAUGAUAAACAUAGCACAUGGACUAAUGUGUUUGCUAUUGUUUGUGUUUGUAGUUUACAGAAUGCGAAGAGGAUUGGACUAAAGCACUAAGGAUGCAACACCUCAAAACAAGUCCAAAAAAAUGUGUAGAAGUCUAAGACUCAAGACCAAAAGAAGCCCAAAAAGAUAGUGAUGAAAUCCAAGAAGUGAGUAGUCAGUCAG
rnacentral:lncRNA from 1 species